ensembl:snRNA U6 U6 spliceosomal RNA
AGGCUUGCUUCAGUGGCUUAUAUACUAAAACUGGAAUGAUAUAGAGAAAAUUAGCAUGGCCCCUGCACAAAGAUGACAUGGAGAUAUGUAAACUGUUCCAUAUUUUU